CGACGGGUGGGCGCCCGCGCAGCUGAACAGCAGCAGGUCUGACUGGAAGAUACAGUGGUGGCGAGUCGAGCUGUAGGCUGGGACCACGGUGUCAGCGCUCGACUCCACCGUCUGACAGUCCACUCCGAACCUGACGGUGGUGGAUGCCAGGCUGGUGUCUGUGUUUCAUGCCAGGGAGCUGGAGCUGGUCAUAGCUGGAACAGCUGACAUUGACUUAUCAGACUGGAGGAACAACACAGAGUACACAGGAGGUAUCAUCAACUGUGUCAACUCUACUUCCUGUCCCAAUAAAGGGGAAUCAAACACUG